rnacentral:siRNA from 1 species
AAUAAGGGCUCUUAGCAGCGUAGU